UACGGAGGGUGCAAGCGUUGUUCGGAAUUACUGGGCGUAAAGCGCGCGUAGGCGGCUUUGCAAGUCGGGUGUGAAAUCCCCAGGCUUAACCUGGGAACUGCAUUCGAGACUGCAUCGCUAGAGUAUCGGAGAGGGAAGUGGAAUUUCAGGUGUAGCGGUGAAAUGCGUAGAUAUCUGAAGGAACAUCAGUGGCGAAAGCGACUUCCUGGACGAAUACUGACGCUCAUGUGCGAAAGCGUGGGGAGCAAACAGG
rnacentral:rRNA from 1 species